UCCAUUGGAUGGUUUAGAUGUCAAAAAUCUAGCUCAUUCAUCAGGUAGUGUACACUUUGCACAUGCUCUGGGCCAAAAACUGAUGUUGGCCUGCUAAUCAAGGAAAAUUAUGCUUCUAUGAGAAAAAUCCUAGUACACUGCACAUAUAUUCUGGCCAAAGAUCAUGUUGCUCCUUUGUGAUAAAUGGGUUGGGAAUCUUAGAAUCGGAUUUUUGUGAAGGUUUUAGCAUUACAACUGAAAUGCAGGUAAGAUUCUCACGUGCUUGUGUAAUUAGUGAAUGUAGGGGCGUCUGCAAUUAGGCAUGAAACAGAAUUUCUAGAUGAAAUAGAUCUUUUCCAUAAAGAAUACAUUAUGCCUCAAUAAGGAUUUCCACUUGAAGCUGACACUAUUUACUAGGGGAGCUUAGCUGGCCUCCAGGAAAGGAUUAUAUUGGAGACAUGUUCUUGAUUGGUGUAGUUUGGCACAACAGAUUCAAGGUUUUCAAAGGUAGUAGCAAUGGGCUUCCAACUCAUGGCAGCAAGCUUUAAUCUUCCAGGCUCUGGAGCUUUAUAUCUAUUUGUUGGUGGGAUGCUACUGUGAGUAAUAUAACACCCUAGCCUGGAGAUUUGAUGAUCUUGAAGAUGAACACAGAAAUAGAAUAAGCUUGUAAAUAUUUAGAAACUGACACCAAAUCUUUGAAUCUAGCGUACAUUUGGAAAAGGCUAUUCAUACCAUUUUUAUGGAAGAACCA